UUCCAGCCCUCCUGCUUGAAGACACCUGACCAUGUUUCUGGCACAUGCAACAAGCACAUAGGGAGACCGGUGCUCUACGCUGAGACUAGGUAGUUAUGGUACACAGAUAGAUGAGCUGCUCAAAUGCUCCCAGAGGUUUCCUGCAGAUGUUUUGCUAAUGUCUGACCUGCUGCCUGGGUUCAGAUGGGAGGAAAUGGUUGCAAACGCAGGUGGUGGUUGCUGAAUCAGCCUUCCUUGGACUUAGAUCAUGAGAGGAAAUGUUCAGCUCUUCCAGCAAAUCUAUGCCCAGGUGUCCUUCUGCAGUAGAGAACCAUUAAUUGCUCAACUAGGGAGGUGUUAAUUGCUAUGUUGUUACAGCUGCAGCUGACUAUUUCAGCCUGUAGUCAAACUGUCCCAUGGUGCCUUCUGCCCCUAAGAAGGCUUUUAGGGUCUAUGCAGCUUGUUACAAUGCAGAAACUUUUUCCAUGGCAAAAAAAAAUCCAUCACAACUACCAGCAGGACAGAAAGGAAGUGAAUGCCCAUUUAGGUUUGCUGAUUUGGUUUGGCAUGAGGCAGUUAGCCACCCAGAAGAAAACACAGAUGAACACAGUAAUUGUUCCAUGCAAGCAGCAGAGAACAGAUGUCAGCCAACUGUCCCAGCUGAGGAACCCAACAGUGCUAUUUCCAGAUCCAGAAGGAAAUGAGAAACUUUACUUUGGAAUUAUAAAUUCAAGGGACUUGAUAUAGAGAGAAUGAUUACCUGCUAUGUUGAACAAAAAUACUA